UGAUCCUCCUGCCUCAGCCUCCUGAGCAGCUGGGACUACAGUCCUGUGCAAGAUCCUCUUGUUGGCAAACUCUAACCUGGGAGCAUGAGGAAGAGGACUGCGGGGAACGGUUUCCAGCCCUACGUAGACAUGGUGGUGGUGACGUGUUGACACAUGGGGGCUCCGCUUCGGACUUCGCAAUGAAUAAGGCCAGGGAACUGCAGCUGAUGGCUGGGUCAUCCGAGAGACCUUCAAUCUUUACUUUCUAUAAUGACAGAGCAAACCAUUCUAUUUGCUAUUUACUUUCCUGAUGGUAUCUUCAAGAAACUUCUGGAAAUAGGUCUUUGUGUCAACCAGAAACUGCUGGUCAGAGGAUAAGUUCUGGAGUUUUCUUGUAGAGCAUGGAGACUGCAGUUAAUAAUAACAUAUCAUAUACUUGAAGAUUGCUGAGAGUAGAUUCUAAACAUUAUUAUUUAUUUAUUUUCUUAGUUUUUUCGCCCCACUUCAAUAAGCUAGUCGAAGACAGUAGAUUUUAAAUGUUCUCACCACAAAAAAUGGUUAAGUAUGUGGGAUGAUAAAUAUGUUUGAUUUACUCAUUCCACAGUGUGUACGUAUAUCAAAGUAUCAUGUUGUAAACUAUAAAUAAAUAUCAUUUCUUAUUUGUCAAUUAAAA